rnacentral:rRNA from 1 species
GGGCCCGCACAAGCGGUGGAGCAUGUGGUUUAAUUCGAUGCAACGCGAAGAACCUUACCUACUCUUGACAUCCAGAGAACUUUCCAGAGAUGGAUUGGUGCCUUCGGGAACUCUGAGACAGGUGCUGCAUGGCUGUCGUCAGCUCGUGUUGUGAAAUGUUGGGUUAAGUCCCGCAACGAGCGCAACCCUUAUCCUUGUUUGCCAGCGAGUAAUGUCGGGAACUCCAGGGAGACUGCCGGUGAUAAACCGGAGGAAGGUGGGGACGACGUCAAGUCAUCAUGGCCCUUACGAGUAGGGCUACACACGUGCUACAAUGGCGCAUACAGAGGGCAGCCAACUCGCGAGAGUGAGCGAAUCCCAAAAAGUGCGUCGUAGUCCGGAUUGGAGUCUGCAACUCGACUCCAUGAAGUCGGAAUCGCUAGUAA